GAUGAACGCUGGCGGCGCGCUUAAGACAUGCAAGUCGAACGAAGAUUUACGAUUAGUUUACUGAUUGUAAAUUCUUAGUGGCGGACGGGUGAGUAACACGUGAGCAACCUGCCUUCGAGAGGGGGACAACAGAGGGAAACUUCUGCUAAUACCGCAUAUGACCACAGUACCGCAUGGUACAGGGGUGAAAGGAGAAAUCCACUCGAAGAUGGGCUCGCGGCUGAUUAGCUAGUUGGUGAGGUAACGGCCCACCAAGGCGACGAUCAGUAGCCGAACUGAGAGGUUGAUCGGCCACAUUGGGACUGAGACACGGCCCAGACUCCUACGGGAGGCAGCAGUCGGGAAUAUUGCACAAUGGGGGAAACCCUGAUGCAGCGACGUCGCGUAAAGGAAGAAGGUCUUCGGAUUGUAAACUUUUGUCGACAGGGAAGAAAAAAAUGACAGUACCUGUGGAGGAAGCCCCGGCUAACUACGUG
rnacentral:rRNA from 1 species